rnacentral:tRNA from 1 species
GCCUUAGCGGUGUAGUGGUCAGCCCGCUCGACGCGUAAUCGAGAGGUCCGUGGUUCGAUUCCCGGCGAAGGCG